rnacentral:tmRNA from 1 species
GGGGGUGACCGGCUUCGACUUCGGUCGUUCGAGCCAGGGGAAGCGGGUCGAGGGUUGCUGUCGUGACCUCGUAAAUCCUGUGACAGCAAACCAAUAACUGCCAACAAGAAGCAGUCCGAGUUCGCCCUCGCCGCCUGAGCGAGGAGCGAACUCUGUCAGCCCGGUAGCGUCUCCGAACCGGGGUCUGGCAUCG